rnacentral:lncRNA from 1 species
CGUCCUUAGUGCGGCCGGUGGAAAAUAGCUUGAUAGUUGGUAUUCGAGUUCUUAAAAUCAAAUUUUUAUUGUCUCAUAUUUUGAACUAAAUUUAUUUUUUAGAAAUAAAAAAGUAAAAAUCUGCAAAACUUGCUUGAAUAUGGAUCAUAUCAAUUCGACCAUCCAAUAUUUUAAUUUAUUUUAUUUGAGUCAAUUAAUUGCACUUUAAAUUUAAAAUUUUAAAGAACUACUUAUCUUAAAAAAUUUAUAGUUGUGAGAGUUGUAUUAAGAAUGCUAAUUAAACUUAUAAAGAUAAAUGACGGAUUCAGAUUUUAAAAUAAAAGUGUUAUUAACCUGUUUAAAUCAAAUAAAUUAAAAUAUCAUAUAGUAAAAUCAAAAUUUUGAAAAAUUGAAUAGGCUACUCAAAAUAGUCGGUACGUAAUAUAAUUAAGUUUUAUACGUUUUCACCGUAAAAGGAAAAUGAACAAAAAGCGGCUAAUA